rnacentral:rRNA from 1 species
GACGAACGCUGGCGGCGUGCCUAAUACAUGCAAGUCGAGCGAGCGGAACUAACAGAUUUACUUCGGUAAUGACGUUAGGAAAGCGAGCGGCGGAUGGGUGAGUAACACGUGGGGAACCUGCCCCAUAGUCUGGGAUACCACUUGGAAACAGGUGCUAAUACCGGAUAAGAAAGCAGAUCGCAUGAUCAGCUUUUAAAAGGCAGCGUAAGCUGUCGCUAUGGGAUGGCCCCGCGGUGCAUUAGCUAGUUGGUAAGGUAAAGGCUUACCAAGGCGAUGAUGCAUAGCCGAGUUGAGAGACUGAUCGGCCACAUUGGGACUGAGACACGGCCCAAACUCCUACGGGAGGCAGCAGUAGGGAAUCUUCCACAAUGGACGCAAGUCUGAUGGAGCAACGCCGCGUGAGUGAAGAAGGUUUUCGGAUCGUAAAGCUCUGUUGUUGGUGAAGAAGGAUAGAGGUAGUAACUGGCCUUUAUUUGACGGUAAUCAACCAGAAAGUCACGGCUAACUACGUGCCAGCAGCCGCGGUAAUACGUAGGUGGCAAGCGUUGUCCGGAUUUAUUGGGCGUAAAGCGAGCGCAGGCGGAAGAAUAAGUCUGAUGUGAAAGCCCUCGGCUUAACCGAGGAACUGCAUCGGAAACUGUUUUUCUUGAGUGCAGAAGAGGAGAGUGGAACUCCAUGUGUAGCGGUGGAAUGCGUAGAUAUAUGGAAGAACACCAGUGGCGAAGGCGGCUCUCUGGUCUGCAACUGACGCUGAGGCUCGAAAGCAUGGGUAGCGAACAGG